CCUACGGGUGGCAGCAGUCGAGAAUCAUUCACAAUGGGGGAAACCCUGAUGGUGCGACGCCGCGUGGGGGAAUGAAGGUCUUCGGAUUGUAAACCCCUGUCAUGUGGGAGCAAAUUAAAAAGAUCGUACCACAAGAGGCAGAGACGGCUAACUCUGUGCCAGCAGCCGCGGUAAUACAGAGGUCUCAAGCGUUGUUCGGAAUCACUGGGCGUAAGGCGUGCGUAGGCUGUUUCGUAAGUCGUGUGUGAAAGGCGCGGGCUCAACCCGCGGACGGCACAUGAUACUGCGAGACUAGAGUAAUGGAGGGGGAACCGGAAUUCUCGGUGUAGCAGUGAAAUGCGUAGAUAUCGAGAGGAACACUCGUGGCGAAGGCGGGUUCCUGGACAUUAACUGACGCUGAGGCACGAAGGCCAGGGGAGCGAAAGGGAUUAGAUACCCGGGUAGUC
rnacentral:rRNA from 1 species